CUUCCUGUCAAUCAGAAGAUUCUAAGGCGCGGCCCGUUAAAAGCGGCCACCUCGGAAAAGCUUCUCAUUUCGAUCGGGAGGUUUUUAAUGAUCUCGGGCAGCUGUUUGGGUUUUUCCUUUUAGCCCAUGGUUGCUUGGUGGCCGCGCUUCUCCUGAGUGCGGGGAAUGUUUUAUUCGGAUAUCCUGAAAGAAAACCGACGCCAGCAAAUGGAUAUCCGAGAGGCUGCCUCUCUCCGCCAGCAGAGGCGGAUGAAACAAGCUGUACAGUUCAUCCAUAAAGAUUCGGCGGAUCUACUGCCUCUGGAUGGUCUCAAAAAGCUGGGAACCUCCAAAGAAACCCAACCACAUAACAUUUUGCAGAGACGUUUACUAGAAACCAACUUAUCAAAAUUCCGCGCCAACAAUCGAGAGACAUGGCCUUCUAAUAAUUCAUUCCCAGUUCAGAACAUAAACUUUAAUAAAACUAAACAAGAACUUCACAAAAUAACGCAGGAAGAGGACCUAAUAUUCGUGCGUUGCAAGUGUGCUGGAAGAGAGAUGAAAGUGCGAAUUGACACUGGCUCUCGAUAUAAUCUCAUCUCAUCUGCUUGUGUGGAUAAACUAGGGUUGAAAGAAUUUGUGAAAACAGAGAAGGAUGACAUUGAAAAAAAUGGAAUGCCAUUUAUUUCAAAGGUCACAGGACAAAUAGAAAAUGUUGGAAUUACUUUAGGACAACUCAAUAUUGAAUGUUCAGCAGCUGUAGUAGAUGAUGACAAAAAUACACUUUCCCUUGGGUUACAGACAUUGAGAUCUUUGAAGUGCAUCAUUGACAUGGAAAAGCAAUAUUUGAUCCUUGGAGAGAAGGAAAAAGAUGAGAUUCCAUUUCUAGGAACUGACAACAUUGAAAUCUGCUCUCCAUAAAUUACAGAUGAAAAUUGCUGAAUUGAGUGGCAAUCAAUUAUAAAGACGCUCUUCAGUGAUGGGCAUCAUUUAUUGCCUGUUCCUUAUUGUCCUUCUAAAGGUGAAGUUGACUAGCUCUACCACAAACAAUAACUGAAUUACUCCAAUAUGUUUUGAAGUCCACAAGGCACUCCAAAGCUAUUAAGAGACUCUCAACAAUACAAAGGCGAAGACAUGCGGUGGAGAAAAUCCAUGAUUUCAGUCUUCUAUACAUCGUGCUGCAGUUUUAUUGUCCACUUUUAAUAAUGGGAAAAUAGUGCUCAGACUGAUGAAUUUGUGAGUAAGUGCUUGGGACCGAACUAGCUUCUCAUAGAUGUAUGCAGUUGAAUGGGAGCUCUAAGUGAAACUAAUAUUGACUAUUUAUAAUCAGAUACAAGUUUUUCCAAAGCAACCCAAUGACUGGCACUAUCUUUUAGCAAGACAAUAAAUUUUUAGUUUGUUAUUAUUGUUAGUAAGCAUGUUUAUAAAUAUACAAAGAUCAGUGGCAGAUUUUCAUCUUUAAUUUUGUUGUACCAUCCAAUUAGAAUAUAGAAUUCGGUUGAAAUCUUAUUAAUAUUAAUAUAAUGUUAAUUAUUUCAUUGUGAGAUAAAAAAAUUAAGAGAAUUCCUUUGUAUUAUUAAUAUUCAAUUUAAGUAAAACAUUAUAUGACUGUGUUAUAAUAAAUGAGACCAGCUAUAGUUUCAGAGUCAUGAUGAGUGCCUGUCUUUUUCACCGUUGGCCUUUUCUAGCUGUAACAAAAACAAAGUAUUUUGUGGUAUAUGUUUCUUUUUGUACCUCGUAUAGUUCUGUGACUUUUUAAGAUAGAAGAAUUACAUCUAUUGGUGUUAAAUGUACAAAACUAAACAAUUCAGGCAUGUUCCAGUAAUUCAGUAAGAUUUUGUGAACAGGUCUGUUUGAAUAAGUUUUUAUGUUUAUAUGCUUUGAGGUCUGCUCAGUAAUGUUGUAUGAGUGUACAUGUUAAUUAAAAUUAAUUUAUAAUAGCACAAUGAAUGGUUGUUUACUAAUUUCAGGAAAAUCGAAUGUCUUGUCAUGAUUGUAACGCAUUUUUCUCUCAGCAGGUGAGUACGCUUUAAGGAAUAGUGGACAUGAAACUUUCCAUUGUACACCUCCCAGCGUUGACUGGCAGAGUGUGCUCCCUUGAAAAGCUGAUGGAAAGAAUGAUCCUUUGCAUCCAGAAUCAUUACUGAUUUCAUGCUCUCACUCAUAGGAGGAAUGCAAAUGUGAAUGAUUGGUGUAGGGCAGGCUGUACCACAAUUCCUGUAUGUUAUUUGUAGCCUCAAUGUUGACAGCAUUAAAGUGCAAUAACUUUGCAGCAGACAGCAAAGCCAUAGUCAAAGGUACAUGAAAGCUAAUGAUACCUUCAGUCAAGGAGUCAGUUGUUUGUAAGAGAGGAGCAAUGCUUGGCUAUUACAGCUUCUUUCAUUCUUGGAAUAUCUGAAAAGGCUGCUGAUUUUCAAAUGGGUGCAAUUUCAUCAGGUCCAAGUGACAAAAAUACUAAAGUAGUCUUGAUGUUGGAAGUGCAAGUUAACAUUAAUUUUCAAAGAUGCAAGAUUAUUUAUAAUGAUGCUGGGGAAGGUGAUUGUGUAAUGGUACUAAUGCUAGACUAUUAAUCCAGGGAUCCAGUUAAUGUUCUGGGGGCUGUGAUUCAUCUCCCACCAAGGCAGGUGGAGAAAUUUUAAUUUAAUUUAUAAAAAGCUGGAAAUAAGGGCCUUAAAUGACUAUGAAACUGUUGAUUGUUGUAAAGUCCCAUCACUAGUAAUCCUUCAGGAAGGAAACUACUUCAUCCUUAUUUGGUCUGGCCUAGGUGUGACUCCAGACCCACAUCAAUGUGCUUGACUCCUAACUGAUCCCUGGGCCCUUACAGAUGGCAAUAAUUGCUGGCUUGGCCAGUGAUGCCCACAUCCUGUGAAUGAAUGAAAAAAACCUGUGCCAUCUGUGCACCUGCAGUAAGUUUACUUUUCUUCUUUGUGCUCUGUCACUAGGUCUAAGUGCAGUCCUUCCAUCUAAGUGGGGUGUAGACAGCCAGCUCUAUAGUUGGCCUUGUUGACCUGGAAGAUCUGGCAGGUUAUUCCUCUGGAUAUUUCAUCUUAGAGGGCUCAGACCUGGUUAGUUGCAAGUUCUGACUCUUCUGCUGGGACUUCUGUAGGGUUUGGCAUCGUAGGUGGAAGGGCCAGGCAUCUCUGGAACAUCAGAGGAAGUUCCUGGAGAUCUUAAAUGUGCUUUUCCUAUCAACGGGUGCCUACUAGUGCCAUCCUAUCUUCAUGAGAGGAUGAGGCACCAGAAGUGAAGCUGAGGUCCCUCAUUUCCCCCUUGUGUUGACAUUGAUGCUGAACUACAGUGACGAGAGAAAUGGCAUGCAGGUCUGUGUACAUGUCAGAUGAUUACUGCUGGACCUGGAUCUCCAUGGCAGUAGCCAGCCAGACAUCUGCAUGCUGGAGCCAGACUCGUACAAUGUUCAUUGAGUCUGCUGACUCUGACAAACCUGUCUGCUGUUCCCUUACAUAUUGAUUAAAUCAUUAAUGGCUGAGACCAUGGGAGUGUCUUUUGCCUGGAUCUGAGGAAUUGUCUGGUCUCUAGCAAUCUUCUGAAUGCCAAAAAUCUGGGGCAUUUCUUUCCUAACCAACUGCAAGGAUGUGUCAGUGAUGUGCUAACCAGAUUGUGUACUCUGCACUUUCAUGCACAUCAAUAUGAAAGCCUUUUGAAGUCAUGAAGGGUGCAGGUGAAAGUAUUUGCAGAGGUUAAGUGGCAUCCUUCUCAAAGGUAGAAGAGGAUCUGAUGGUUGCCAGUGCUGGUCUCUAUUUGAUGGAAAUUUACUGAAUACUACUGGUGCCUGCAUAACAGAGGGAACUGGUUGUAUAAAAGGGAUAAAAGCCUGUGCAGGUUAAGAUACAAUUUUGACGUUGUCAAUGAUAAGCAGAAACUGUAAACAGUUAUGUUCCCAAUCUAGUCAUAAUUUCUUUGAAUACUUAUGACAUACAAUUUGAACCUGAUUGUACUUCUUUGGGUAAUCCAUAUUACACAAAAGUGAAUUAAUGUUUCCACUUCCACUUUUGCAGUAAUUUUUCUUGAAGGCACCUCGUCAGGAAAUCUUGUGGAAACAUCCAUAAUCAUUAAAAGAUACUGAUUCCAAUUUGAUUUUAGUUUGGGGUCCUAAACAGUCUAUUUACAACCUACUAAGCAGUUCUUCAAAGCUGGCAGAAGAAUUAAAUGUGUAAGUUUAGUUGAUGGUUGCAGUUUGUCCACUAUCUGACAUGCAUGGCAUAUCUAGCAAAAUUUGACAUCUUUUUGUAAUCCUGGCCAGUGAAAAUGUUUUCAUAUUUUGUGCUCUCCUAAUACUUAAGUGAUCCACAUUGGAAUUUCAUGAGCCACAUGUAAAAUUUUGUUAUGAUAUUCAAAUGGGAGGACCACCUGCGGACCACUGCCUAUGCCUCACUGAUUGAUGUUUCAGGUAGUCUCUGUUUCCUCAUUAAAACUUUGUCUUUCAAGCAAUAAAGUUCAGAUAUGGUAUCUAAUUCAAUUUUAUGAGUAGGCUGAUUGGUAUAAGUCUUUCAAUUCAGGAUCCAUUUGUUGCAUUUGCAGCUAAACAGUGUCCAUCUCCAGAGGUCACAGUAAAACCACAAGCAGAUCUUAGAGUUUUGAAACUCUGUUUAAGAAUGAGGAUAAUUCAAAAGAGGUGGUUGUCAAUUGAGGUCAGGUAGUCUAUCCAGAGUUAAGCAAGUUAACACAGUUCGCACUGAAGCUGAAGGAGUUCCAGAAUGUUACUAUAUUAAUAACAAAGAUCUGAUGAGAAAGAGAGGACAACCUCACAGAUCUGCAGCCAAAGAAUUGAUGGUUCCUCAUCAAACCGAGAUAUGGCCAAGAUUUAAUAAGGAGAUAUUGCAUUUAGCACAUGAAAUUCCAAUGGCAGGAUAUGUAGGAAUUUUACUGCAUAAAGAUGCAGUGUAAUUCUAUAAAACAUGCCAUACAUGUUGGUUGGUAGGAAAACCUCAACGUGUAAUUAAAUCAGCAUCUUUGACUUAUGCCAGUUUUUUUUAAAACUAUUUAAUCAGAUGUUCAUGGAUUGUGUAGGAUGAUUACUGGACACAGAAGAUAAUCACUAUAUCCUUACAGUUAUGAAUGUGAUAACCUGAUUGCAAAUAGCUGUUCCUUUAAGGAUAGUUACAACUACAAUAACAGUAGAAAAAUUAACAUUGUUUUUACUCUUAAUGCAAUCUGAUUGGGGCCCUUGUGUAUUUGGUAGUAUGGUGAACUGUCACUUUAAGAUUCUGAUCACAUGACAUAAUAGGAAAUUUAAACAGUGCAUUAGGGAUGACUUUUUAGAGCAAUAUGUUAUGGAGCCAACCAGGGAGCAGGCAAUCUUGGAUCUGGUAAUGGGUAUUGAGGCAGGUUUAAUAAAUUUCCUAAAAGAAAAAAUACUGCCUAGGAAGUAGGGACCAUUACAAAAUAAAAUUUAAUAUUCAGUUUGAGAGAGAGAAACUUGGGUUGGAAAUGACUAUUUUUGCUUCAAGUAAGGGCAAUUGCAAUUAAAUGAGGUUAGAGUUAGCUGAAGUGAACUGGAUAGAAACAUUAGCAGGAAUGUCAGUUCGCAAGCAGUGGCACACAUUCAUAAUUCAUGACUCCUAGUAAAAAUAUAUCCCAAUAAGGAGGAAAAAUUCUAAGAGGGGAUAAACUAGCCAUGGCUAAACCAAGAAAGUUUAGGAGCAUAUUACAUUGAAAGAGAAAGAAUUUAAGAAACAAAAGUCAAUGUUAGCCCCAAAUGCUAGGAUAAAUUCAAAAUCCAGCAAAGGAGGACUGAAAAGAUAAUAAAGGCUUAAAAAAAUGCACAAAACAGCAAACAAGCAAGGAAUAUAAAAUCUUACAAUAACAACUUCUUUAAAUAUAUAAAAAGGGAGACAUCAAAGUGAAUUUUGGCACCUUAGAAAAUGAAUCUGGAAGACUCUAAUGGUGAGCAAGGAAGUGGCAGAGGAGUAUAAGAGUAGGGAAGUCUUACUGCAACAUUACAAAGUGCUGGUGAGGCCAUAUCCAGAGUGCUCCAGCAGAUUUGGCCUCCUUAUUUAAGGAAAGAUGCUACUUCAUUGUAGGCAGUUCAGAAAAGUUCACUGGAUGAUUCCUGAUAUACAAGGAUUGUCUUUCGAGCAAAGGCUAAACAAAUUGUGAUUGUACUCACUGGAGUUUAGAAGAACAAGAGGUGAUCUCAUUUAAAGAUGUAAGAUUCUUAAGGACCUUCACAGGCUCAAUGCUGUGAGGAUGUAUCCCUUCAUGGGAAGAAUCUCGGACCAGAGGUUGUAGACUCAUAAUAAAGAGGUGCCAAUUUGAGACAGAGAUGAGGAAUUUCUUGUCUCAGAGGGUUCAGAGUCUUUGGAAGUCCUUGCCAUUGAGAGCUAUGGGACAGAGUCCUUGUAUAUAUUUAAGGUUGAGAUAGAUAGAUUGAUAGACAGAGAGAUCAAUAGAUAGAUAGAUAGAUAGACAGACAAGAUGCUGAAUCAGUAGGGGAAUCAAGGUUUGUGGGAAGGGACAAGAAAAUGGAGGAAUGUUGGCUCAGUCGUGAUCCUGUUGAAUGGUUAAGUAGGUUUGAGGGGCCGAAUGGCCUAAUCCAGUUCUUAUUUCUUAUGGUCUCACAAGAGUUUAUAGACUAUCUAAGGAAGAGCAAAAUGCAAUAGAUGCUAUAAGCUCCUUAUCAUCCAGCCACAAAUGGUUUGGCAGAAAGGUUUGUUCAGACAAUGAAAUAUUCCUUAAAGGAACUUGAGAACAGGAUCACUGUCGAAAAGACUGAGCUAAUUUUUGUUAACAUACCAGACCACAACCCACUUGAUGACUGGCGUAGCUCAUGAUGAAGUGUCAGUUGUACUCAACAUUUGAUUUGCUAAAACUGCCCAUGUCAAAGGAUAUUGUUUACAGGCAACAGCAGCAUCAGGUUUUCCUAUGAGACAAUAAGACUAAAUGCUGAGUUUUCCAAAAGGUGAACAAGUGUUCGUUCAGAAUUAUGCCACUAGCAAGAAGUGGGUACUGGCCAUCAUUGUAGCUCAGACUGGACAGUCACCUACACUGUAUAGAGGAGAGAUGAGGUAGUAUGGAAAAGACAUGCAGAGCAAUUCUUUACAAUCAGAAUGAAUGUACCAGAGACAACAUUAAUCUAAGAUCUUAAAAAUAACUGCAGCAUAGAGUCCUGGAUAUACAUGAGGAUAGAAGGUAACUGGAGCAACUGAGGGAGACAGAACCUUAGUGGAGAAUACCACAACAGUGUGCAAACCUCUGGACAUUCAAUCACCUCAGGAAAAGACAAUGACAAUGUUUCUAAUACACCUAAAGGGUAGAACCAAUGAGAAAAUAAAAAGAUACCUGCGAUGCACCAGUAGCCAUACUGGAAUUGUUGUCCCCUGGAAUGUCUUACUUAUUAAAACCCAAAGGAACUGUGGAUGCUGUAAAUCAGGAACAAAAACAAAGUUGCUGGAAAAGCUCAGCAGGUCUGGCAGCAUCUGUGGAGGAGAAAACACAGUUAACGUUUCAGGUCCGAUGACCUUUCCUCGGUCCAUGUCUUAUUUAUUGACAGUUGUAAAUUUUGUUGUGAAUGAUUUCAUUUCAGGAACCCCUGAUAUAAAGCGGAAGGAGGGUUAUGUUUUUGAUAGGAUGGUAGACUAUCACUUCAAGAGUCUGAUCAUGAUGAUGUCAUCUGCUAUUUUGAGGAAAACAUCUUAGUCUAACCUUGCUACCUGCAGAAUGAACACCUUAAUAAAGCUCCUGCUGCUUUUAAACA